UGUUUGUCUGUCUCUCUCUGGUCUGUCUCUGCUCUUACCUGUCUGUCCUCUCGCCCUCCCAGCAUCUGAUGCAGACGAUAGGCCAGAGCCAACAGAGCCAGACUACACACUGGGACCAGGACACAAACUGGAUGACAUUGAUGACUACAACCCCUUCAUCCCCAAACUGGAGAAGAGCGUCAGUGGAAGCAGUCCGUCCCGGGACCGCCUGCUCAUCACCGUGGCGAUGCUCUUCUUUGUCGCCCUCAUCGUCUCCUAGCAACGGCCAUCCCAUCGGCACCGGUGGGCAUUUGCCAUGCCAGCUAGCCUUGGGUGCGGGGGCGUUCGACCUGCGUGGGAGAGAGAGAUAGAGACUAGCGGCGUUGGGGAGGAGGUUGAGGAGAUGUUUUAGGAAGUGUCAUGAGAGGAGUGGAGCGGAGAACUGGCCUAAAGUUAAUUGUAACCACUCCAACAAACACAGUUUUCAAAUAUUUCUAUGUGCGUGUGUUUGAGUGUGCGAAUGGCGUGUGUGUGAAAGUGUGUGCAAGUCUGUGCAAGUUUGUGCAAGUGUGUGUGUGUCUGUGUGCGCGUGUCUGUAGGCGUGUCAGCAAUAAACAGCACAGACAGAACUACACAUCACUCUUAGGUCAGAGGGUGUUUUGCUGAGGAGUCUGUGUGUCUCAGCAGGUCACAGGACAGACUUGUGGAAACAUGCAACACACAAAGUAUUUAGAGAGCCGGGGUGGAGACGACAGGGGAUCCUAAUACGAUUACCACCUUGAUCGAAUAACCGCCCAGUGGAAACCAAAGGCUGUUUGUUCGAAGGCCCCCUCCCCCCACCCCCGCCCCCCCCAAAAAACGACUCACCACCCCCCUGUGGCUGAUCCGCUGAACAACUUCAUGAGGCUAGUUUGCCAUAACUUUAUUUCUAUGAAACGUAAAAAAAAAAAAGAACUCAAAUGAACUAAAGUCAGUGGCUCUCAAAUUUAACCGAACUAAAAUGGCCUUUCUUUCCGGUUGUUAUUUUGUUUUUUGGACUUACACCAGAGACAGACACCUCUGGCCAACGGUGUCGGUGUGCGCUGACCCGUGCUGAUGGGUGUACGUAGCUGAUAGUUUAUAGACACACACCUUGGAGCUCCGGUGUAUUUAGAAACCCACUCUGCUGGAUCAUUUCUCCAUCCACCACAGUGAGUCUUACAGAACGUCAUCCCCACCAGCUGCUUUGCCCCGAGACGGAAGGAAGAUGGAGCAGGUAACGGGAAUAGGAUCGCCAUGGAUACAGAAGAAGCGACACAGGUGGUGGUGGGAAGGGGACCACUGACCACAGUCAGUGGUCAUCAGCAGCUUGUUGUUUGUAGUUUGUCUCGUUUUCUCGUCACUCGUCUCAAGCACACCACCACUAGACAGACGGCUAUGGUGGGCACAAACACUCAGCAAUACUGCCCCCACCCCACCCUCUCCUCUCGCCCACCGCCUUCCUGUCUCAGCUGCCCUCCUGGAGAGCGGCCGACCGCUCGGAGGGAGAGGAAGGCUGACGGAGGAGAAGGGAGAGCGAGAGAGAGAUGGCUGCGUGUGAGCUGAAGGCUGAUCCAGGAUUCGGGACAGCCCUGCAGGGCCAUGCAACGCCACAUGCAUGGAGACAGGUCCAGGAUGUGACUGUGCGUGAGUGAGUGUGUGUGCGUGCAAAAAUAAAAUAUUUUACAUGAUACUAACAUCUAGAAAACACAUCAACAAACUUUACAUAGUUAAUUUUUAAAAUGCAAAAGUAAAAAAAAAAAAUAUUCAAUGCAAAACAACAAAAGCUGCAAGACAAACAUUUACACACCAAGUGCUUUGGUGGGGGGGUUGGGGGGGGCAAACAACGUUAAAGGGGUUCAACAAACUGUUCCCACCUGUUUAUUCAACAUAGUGUUCAUAGCAACUAGCACCUUAUUCACCAUGGUUACCCUAUCCUGCCAACGAGUGACUCUUCAGCCACGGCCCACCGUUGUCGUGGUGAUGAGGAUGGUGACGAACAUGGUGAUGAAGAUGGUGAUGGGACAUUUCCGACCCUUGACCCCUCAAGGUCACAGAGAUCUCACCUGCGAGUGAUUCAUGGACACUGGAGAACGUCUGUAUUUUGCCGAGGUGAAAUGUACUUUUUGUUUUCUUUUUACUUGAAGCCCAGUAUCAGUGUGGUCCCUAUUGUUUCUGUUCUGGGUCAUCUGUUGGUUUACUGUGGUGUCUGGUGAUUGUGUCUGUGUGGGCUGUGGGACUUCACUAGGGCUGCCUGCUGCCAAUUAGUCAACUAAUUGGUCAAAUAAAGCUAUUCCACCUUACUGAAUAUCGUUUUGGUCUGGUUUACCGUAAUAACGUUUCUCCAACAAGACAUUUUAGCAUGUUUAUUCCAAAUAAGAUAUAUUCAGAAUGUUAUUUUUCAGAUCAAGUAUUGUUCAUAUGUUACAGCUGAAAUUUAUUUUACAGUACCAUUCAAACGGUCUCCACAGUCUUUAUCGGUUAGUCGACUAAUUUCUCUUUGGCAGCAGCCCAGUUUGAUUGAACAAUGCUGGAUUUCAUGUGUAGGAAUGGCAACCAAUGUAUAUGUUUUCAUUCAGGGAAGACGGAGGUCAAAGGUCGAACCCUGUGACUGGCCACUGGCCUGGAGGGUGGGGACCCACACCCACAGGGGGAGGGAGGGGAGGGUGUGGGUGCUCGGCAGUAGAGUUGGAGAGGGGGCCCUGGGUGAAGGGUUGGGUGUCACCGUGUCACUCUUCAAAAGUUGCACUUACAAAUGUGAACUUGUCUGUGUGUGUGCUUGUUACAGUGCGUGAGAGGAGGACAUCGUAACAAUAUCUUGUGCUCUGGUCCUCGCUUCAUAAGUGAUAGCGUGAUAGAGGUGGAUUAGACAGUGAGGAGCUCAACUAUGUUUUUCCCAUUAAACUCACAGCGUGUGCGUGGUUGUGUGUCUGAGACCCAUUGUUGUCUGGGAAAAACUACAAAAGCAUUUAUUUGUGUUGGUGACAACAGUCACAAUCAUGUUUACCUUUGACUGGAAUGACUUUAAAUGAACUUGAAAAAAAAACUGUAAACUGAUUAAACUGUUACAGAGGUAAUAACAGCGAUUAUGAUAACAAAAUAAUAAGCUUACAAAUCAUACUUUUAA